rnacentral:rRNA from 1 species
GAGCGGUAGAGAGAAGCUUGCUUCUCUUGAGAGCGGCGGACGGGUGAGUAAUGCCUAGGAAUCUGCCUGGUAGUGGGGGAUAACGUUCGGAAACGGACGCUAAUACCGCAUACGUCCUACGGGAGAAAGCAGGGGACCUUCGGGCCUUGCGCUAUCAGAUGAGCCUAGGUCGGAUUAGCUAGUUGGUGGGGUAAUGGCUCACCAAGGCGACGAUCCGUAACUGGUCUGAGAGGAUGAUCAGUCACACUGGAACUGAGACACGGUCCAGACUCCUACGGGAGGCAGCAGUGGGGAAUAUUGGACAAUGGGCGAAAGCCUAAUCCAGCCAUGCCGCGUGUGUGAAGAAGGUCUUCGGAUUGUAAAGCACUUUAAGUUGGGAGGAAGGGUUGUAGAUUAAUACUCUGCAAUUUUGACGUUACCGACAGAAUAAGCACCGGCUAACUCUGUG